rnacentral:rRNA from 1 species
GAGUUUGAUCAUGGCUCAGAUUGAACGCUGGCGGCAGGCCUAACACAUGCAAGUCGAGCGGUAACACAGAGAGCUUGCUCUCGGGUGACGAGCGGCGGACGGGUGAGUAAUGUCUGGGAAACUGCCUGAUGGAGGGGGAUAACUACUGGAAACGGUAGCUAAUACCGCAUAACGUCGCAAGACCAAAGUGGGGGACCUUCGGGCCUCAUGCCAUCAGAUGUGCCCAGAUGGGAUUAGCUAGUAGGUGGGGUAAUGGCUCACCUAGGCGACGAUCCCUAGCUGGUCUGAGAGGAUGACCAGCCACACUGGAACUGAGACACGGUCCAGACUCCUACGGGAGGCAGCAGUGGGGAAUAUUGCACAAUGGGCGCAAGCCUGAUGCAGCCAUGCCGCGUGUAUGAAGAAGGCCUUCGGGUUGUAAAGUACUUUCAGCGAGGAGGAAGGCGUUAAGGUUAAUAACCUUGGUGAUUGACGUUACUCGCAGAAGAAGCACCGGCUAACUCCGUGCCAGCAGCCGCGGUAAUACGGAGGGUGCAAGCGUUAAUCGGAAUUACUGGGCGUAAAGCGCACGCAGGCGGUCUGUCAAGUCGGAUGUGAAAUCCCCGGGCUCAACCUGGGAACUGCAUUCGAAACUGGCAGGCUAGAGUCUUGUAGAGGGGGGUAGAAUUCCAGGUGUAGCGGUGAAAUGCGUAGAGAUCUGGAGGAAUACCGGUGGCGAAGGCGGCCCCCUGGACAAAGACUGACGCUCAGGUGCGAAAGCGUGGGGAGCAAACAGGAUUAGAUACCCUGGUAGUCCACGCCGUAAACGAUGUCGACUUGGAGGUUGUGCCCUUGAGGCGUGGCUUCCGGAGCUAACGCGUUAAGUCGACCGCCUGGGGAGUACGGCCGCAAGGUUAAAACUCAAAUGAAUUGACGGGGGCCCGCACAAGCGGUGGAGCAUGUGGUUUAAUUCGAUGCAACGCGAAGAACCUUACCUACUCUUGACAUCCAGAGAACUUAGCAGAGAUGCUUUGGUGCCUUCGGGAACUCUGAGACAGGUGCUGCAUGGCUGUCGUCAGCUCGUGUUGUGAAAUGUUGGGUUAAGUCCCGCAACGAGCGCAACCCUUAUCCUUUGUUGCCAGCGGUCCGGCCGGGAACUCAAAGGAGACUGCCAGUGAUAAACUGGAGGAAGGUGGGGAUGACGUCAAGUCAUCAUGGCCCUUACGAGUAGGGCUACACACGUGCUACAAUGGCAUAUACAAAGAGAAGCGACCUCGCGAGAGCAAGCGGACCUCAUAAAGUAUGUCGUAGUCCGGAUUGGAGUCUGCAACUCGACUCCAUGAAGUCGGAAUCGCUAGUAAUCGUAGAUCAGAAUGCUACGGUGAAUACGUUCCCGGGCCUUGUACACACCGCCCGUCACACCAUGGGAGUGGGUUGCAAAAGAAGUAGGUAGCUUAACCUUCGGGAGGGCGCUUACCACUUUGUGAUUCAUGACUGGGGUGAAGUCGUAACAAGGUAACCGUAGGGGAACCUGCGGUUGGAUCACC